CCUACGGGUGGCAGCAGUGGGGAAUAUUGGACAAUGGGCGAAAGCCUGAUCCAGCCAUGCCGCGUGUGUGAAGAAGGCCUUCGGGUUGUAAAGCACUUUCAGUGGGGAAGAAAGCCUUGGGGCUAAUACCCUCGAGGAAGGACAUCACCCACAGAAGAAGCACCGGCUAACUCCGUGCCAGCAGCCGCGGUAAUACGGAGGGUGCGAGCGUUAAUCGGAAUUACUGGGCGUAAAGCGCGCGUAGGCGGUCUGAUAAGCCGGUUGUGAAAGCCCCGGGCUCAACCUGGGAACGGCAUCCGGAACUGUCAGGCUAGAGUGCAGGAGAGGAAGGUAGAAUUCCCGGUGUAGCGGUGAAAUGCGUAGAGAUCGGGAGGAAUACCAGUGGCGAAGGCGGCCUUCUGGACUCACACUGACGCUGAGGUGCGAAAGCGUGGGUAGCAAACAGGAUUAGAUACCCCUGUAGUC
rnacentral:rRNA from 1 species